rnacentral:lncRNA from 1 species
CGCCUCUUCCUCUUCUAGAAGCCUUAGAAUCUGCUGGAAACCUUAAUCCUUUUCAUCUUUGGUUUCGGCCAAACCUUAGUCCUUUUCCUCAAGGAUUGUGCAAUCCUAAUCCUUAUGGAUUGUGCCGUGAGUUUGCCCUAUAAAUAUACAUAUCUGCCGCACAAAUCAAUUCACCCACACACCCACAUACAUUAAGAUAUAAUUGAGAGAUUUCAGAGAGUUUUAAACGUGCACUUGCAUGGAGGAAGGAGAAGGAGAAGCUUGUGUCGUGGCUUGAAAUCCAAAGGAGAGUUCGAAAUCUGCCAUUGGAGCUGCUGGGACGUUCUUGGUUCUUUCUAUCCUUAGAUUUGUUUCAAUAUGUCCAACUUAGUGUUUUAAGUUCCACUAGAGUUAAAAAGGUGUUUCAAUAUGUCCAACUUAGUGUUUUAAGUUCCACUAGUGUUAAAUUUGUCCAAACAGUCCUUAGAACCUGUUUUGAGUCUUUUUUAACUUAGUUUUGCUGUUUUGAGUGUUUUGAGUCAGUUUUAAGUCAUAAGAGUCUUGUUUAGAGUUUUUAAGUCUAGUUAAGUGUUUUUAAGUUUAAUUUAGUAUUUCUGAGUCAUAUUCGUAUAGAUUAGCAUCCCUAGUUAAUCCUCGGUUCAGAACGAUCCCUAC